ensembl:lncRNA
CUUAUCUUGGCAGGUCCAAGGCUCCAGUUUUCUGGGCUCCCUCCUUUUCUGUUUGUUGGAAAGAAAGGACAGAAGGAUCCUGGGAGUGGAAACUGGCCUUUCUGAUUUCCUCUUGGGCUGACCUCUGUCCAGAGCUGAUGGAUGAGGAAUGUGAAAGGACCCUCUCCCACCCGUGCUGAGCACAGGGAGUCCAGCUUCAGGAACUUCCGCUUAUAAAUGCUGCCUUUUAGCAUCUAGGUGAAAAGUUUAACCUAUAAGAGGUGUUCCUGGUUUGAUGUGUUAUUGGGAUGCCCAUCAAACCAGGCGUCCUGGCUCUUAGCAGCUUGCUGAAGAUACAGACCCUGAUUCUGAUUGGCAGGUCUGGGAUGUGUUCUAGCCAGUGAGGAGGGUCCCUGUCUAGGCCCAGCAGGUUCCCAAGGAAGCUGUUGUCUCUGCCAGUCUCAGUCUGUGGGAUUGUGCCCUCAGUGACAGGGAUUGGUAGAGUUGGGGGACAGUCUGGACACAGGCUCAAAGGAUGUUUCCUUUGCCUUUUCCCGGGUCUACUGUUUCAGUGCUCCUGGGCUCUCUGCUCUCUCCCGGACCAGCGCCCACUUUGAGCAGAAUCCUGUUUCGCUGAGCAAGGAACAUCUGGAAAUGUGAAAGGCUCAUUUCAUCCAGAGAUCGGCACAUGCAGUUCGGAGUCUUUCUGGGACACGAAUGAGCAGGAUAGGAAUUUGAGAAGAUAAAAGUGUGUGGGGAGAACAUGUUCAUGUCUUCCUCCAGAGCUCGGGAGCCCUGAAGACCCUGGCUUAGGUGGCCGUGGGCCUUUCUGUCUGUAGAGCCAGUUGUCACCAAGAGGGGUCCAGUCACCAUGAAGCGGACCACAGCUCAGCCUGGGACUUGGAGAAGACAGAAAAGGAAGGGCCUUGUCAAGUGGCGGCAGCCCUGGGGCACUCCAACCUGGGUGUCCUUCAGGGACUGUGAAGAGGAUGAAGUCACUUUCCUGGUCGCUGGAUGUGAAGUGGAGUCCUGGGGGCCCAAGAGGCAGAGUGGAGGCUCCAGGCUGCCCCGUCUUCGUCUGACCUGGCUGUGGAAGCAGAUAGAAGCAUCCACCUUUUACGACUGAAAUUGAAUCACAUGACAUUGCCAAAGUGCAACCAUAUUUAGCUUCUCAGACAGCCAUUUCAUAUGCUACAAUGUGAUGCUUUGCAUCUGAACUCUGUUCCAUGCUAGCAGCAGACUGAAGUCCAGGUUUCCUAGGCCCAUUCAGAGCAGGACCCUGGACCCUGGACUGGAGAACAAGGGAGAGAGUCGGUCUUUAAAACAGGCAGAAGAUCAAGUUUGUCUUAAGGGGCUGAGGCAGACCCCACUCCCCACGUCAGGCGCCCCCGCUCCUGGGUUCUCCAGUGACCUCUAGGCUGGGCCUGGUUUGGGGUGUGCAGUGGGAGCUGGCGAGGGGACCCUGGAAAAGCCCUCCUAGCCGGGUGGUGUGUGCCCUCCUGACUAAGUGGGCAGAGUUUUCUGGAGGCUUUAGGAGGCUUUGUGUUUCUGGACACACCCAGCAUCCCUACCCCAUCUGGGCUACAAAUCCUGGUGGUGAGGGCUGUGUGGGAGGCCAAGCUGAGUGGAAGCAGCUCCUAGGCAAGGAGCCCUGAGGUGAUUCCUGAACCUCAGGGACAGCAGCCAACCAGGCCCACACAGCAGGUAUCUGAACUCAUCCAAGGGCAAAGUGGCCUGGGAGGUUUCAAGCUACAGAGUGACAGAAGGUUUAUAAAUUGCACCAAGGAUGAGAGAGUUUCCUUCCUGGGAUUCACCAGCCUGCCUCACAGUCAUGGAACAGACUUGCCUGGAUAUCUUGGAGCCUGGUGGUGCUGUUAGGGACUUGGCAUCUUUCUUGUCAGGAGGAUAGAAACAGAAGAGGGAGGGGCUCAGCUCAGAUCAUUUUAUCCAUCUGUCCAUCCAUCCAUCCAUCCACCCAUCCACCCAUCCAACCAUCCAUUAAGCCAGUGGUAACUGGGUGUCUACACAUGCCUGGCACUGUGCUAGGCGCUUGGCAUAUAGCAGUGAACAAAACAAACAAAUAUCUCUGGCUUUCUGUUACUGCAGCCGCUUGGGUAAAGCCAUUAAUAACUAUGUCGCUAUUAAACAGCUCCUAUCUUUUCUACCAUGACAUCAUUAAAUGGAUACAAUUUGUGUGUGUGUGUGUUUUAAAACUUUAAUAAACAGAAAUGCUCAGGGCAUAAUGUGAGAUUUUUAGGAAGCCUGAUCCAAAAUUGCACAUAUAGUUUGAUUCUACCUAUGUUAACAUACAUGUGCCCUGAAAAGGCACAAGAAGGAAAUAGCUGUUAAACAGAAGUAGCAGUGUGGCAGAUGUUUUAUCCUAGUAUGGCCCACAAGAUCUCCC